CCUUGUUUCGUCCAGUGCUUCCCCCACUUUCCACUCUUUCUAAUCGCCACUAAUCGGUCAAUUAUUGUCUGUCUGUUGCAAAAGUGCGAAAUAUCGCGCAAAGGUACAUAUUGUAUCUAUCUUUUUUGUAUCUUAAUUUUCUUUAAUCAGAAGUUAUGAUUAGGUCAACUUGAAAUUGUAUUCACGUACAGUAGUCAUUUUAGUGUGAAGUACUUAUUUGAUACUUGUAUCAUUUCACUGUCCAAAGGUGAAGUCGCCGGGUUGCUGUUUGAACUCGCUGAACAACAGAAGAAAUCAGCCAAGUCUGUUUCUACACCUGCUACCUGCUCUAACACCAGUCACGUGGCAGUAAGCGGAAGACAUGAAGCAAGAUUCAGGGAUAGCACGUGGUCAUUGUAAUUGCGUGGGCAGGGAUCAUGUAAAGUUGACAGCGUGGUCACGUGGGCGCCUCACAAAGGAUUCGGAUCAUGACAUGUGCUUAAGAUUGUACUUCGUAAGCUGAAGGUGUGAAUGUCGGAGGUCAUAUCAAGGUCACUAGCCGGGCGCUCUAGGGCGCGUCUUAAAUGAUGGAUUUGAUCCAUCAUAUCUUCAGACACAACUGCUGACUGUGUCUUCAGCCAUGAUAUUCUUAAGAUUGUGCUUGGUAAGCUGAAGACGGAAAUGUCGUCGGAGGUCAUAUCAAGGUCACUGCGCGGGUGCUCAUGGACGCGUCAUAAAUGAUGGUUUUGAUGCAUCAUAUCUGCAGAGACAACUGGUGACUAUGGCUUCAACCAUGAUAUUUUAAAGAACACUUGUGCUGACAGCGAGUCACGGUCUGUUCAUUCUUCAGAUGGUCAUCAAGUCACUGGUCCACCGCAAGUUGCAGCUAUAAGACGGAGAAUAAAGAAUAAUACGUCGUAUAGAACGGUAACUCUCCGCCCCGCACCAGUUCGUAUCGCGCGCCGAGCUAGAUUUACCUCACAACCUCUGGGUCUUACUUUAGUCUUAAAUGGCCGUAAGCUGCUAAGUAAGGGGGAGCGCGAGGACUGUCUGCCUCGCUUGCACUUACACAUAACGGCAUAGAAUAAGGAAUAAUAUACUACGUAUAGAACGGCAACUCUCCGCUCCCCACCAGCAGCUGAGUUUACCUAGCCUCCCUCGGUUUUACUUUCGUAUGGCGUCAGACGUUACAAAUAAAGAUGCGUGUGUACGAUAAUGUCAAUGUGUAGUGUUUGUAAAUUGAGGUGUUUUGUAUGAAGUGUCCAGGGUGUGCACACGGUAACAAUAACAUUUUUGUAUGGUUCUUCUUGUAUGCCACAAGCUUAUUUAUUAUGUUCUGUCAGUGUAGUGUUGAAUAUAUCUAGCUAUAUCAUAGCUAAAUCUUCUCUUCGCUGUUGUGGGCUGCGAUGUCAAUGACAUUAAAUUAUUACUUGUUCAUAAAUUGUUUAAAAAACCUUGUGGUAAUAAAGAAAUAAGUAGUUACUUAAGCUAAGUUUGUAUUAUAAAUUGAAGUAUGAUUGAUGCACGUCAAAGUUCCAAGAUUUUAUUGUGUAUUAGUUGGCCAGAUCGUCGCUAUAAUUUUAUAAUUUAUUUAUUUUCUUCCACGCUACUAAAAGUAAACAAAAUAUCAAAAAGUAACACAAGUAAACGGAGUUAUCACUUCACUCGUAAAAUCCCAGGAUCCUGUAACAACGACGACGUCUAAUCAACAUUCAUACAUAACCUCACGCCCAUAAUCACUAACGGGGUGCACAGAGCUACAAGCCAGUAGACAACUUGUAGCCACUUGAUAUGAAGUCCUAAGAUUAUUAUGUUUACUAUCAUUACGGAUCCCAUCGUGUGGGAAUUUCUUCAGAGGGUCCUGUUAAUCUUGAGAGGGGCCCCGAGGAUUCUUGACUACAUUGUAUUCUACCUAACCAGGCAGUAAACGAAUUGACUUUACUCCAUUGAGCCUUCUCGUAAAACAAUCGUGAUAAUUAUUUUGUUCUAGAACCACUAGAGGUACCUAUUUUUUUUAAGCUAUUGCAUAGCUUCUAUCGCGGGCUUUGAGCGUGGAGAAUCCAGAAAUUCCGUAACGAAAAUAACCUAACACCCCCACUCCGACCGGCACGCGGCACAGCGGUGAUACAUUUUAGUUUUGCCAUAUAUCGAUGAAUAGCAGAACUUUUAAUGACUUUUUUUUAAUAUCACGCUUCCAAGAGUGGAAAGACACCUUCUUGAACGCAUUUUACGUACACAGCUGUCAUUUCGUUCUUGACAAUUCGGACCGUUAUGCCGUCUAUGCCGGGGGCUUUGUUCGGUAGCUCCCUGAUGAUACGAUCGAGACGCUCUAGUGUCACUGUUUCCACGUCCCGACCGGGCGGCUCGCAGGCCGCCGCAGCCCUAACCUGUCUAUGAUACGCGGAGUCGGCCCCCGGAUUGUCGUCGGGACACAUUACCCUAAGCACCCCUCCCAUGGCGCCCGCCGCGUCGUCGGCGAACCCCUCCGCUAGCUUCAGCCCGUUGAUCACCCCCGGAGGCGGGCGCACCCUGCCGCUAGCGGCCCGGUACGCCAGCCCCCACGGAUCAUCGUUCCCACUUUGCGCUAUGCGCAGGCAGUGGUCGGUUUCCGCUUUAUGCAUCGCGCCCCUGUACUUCGCCCGGGCAGCGUGGUACCGUUCCUUUGCCUCUGUCUCUGCCGGUGCGCCCGCACGCCUAGACUGCUGCCAUUUGCGCCUACGCCUGUUAUUUUCCCUGCGGAGACGGUCCAGGGAGUUGGACCACCACUCGUAUCAAUCUGUCCAGUACCCGCUCUAACUGCUCCAGGUGUCCGUCGAUCGGCUGCGAGUACUGGAAGUAGGCGGAGACGACGUACAGGCUACGCUUCCCCCCCCCCCCCCCCCCCCGCGUAACCUGUGCCACCGUGCAGUGGCUGGUGCUCAGGUGGUGGAGCACCAACGUGGCGAUUGUGCUCUGGUUCGCCACGUAUAUCCCCGCCUUGGCCGUUUCCCCUCCCUCGAUGCUGCCUCCCUCCAGGAGGCCCGCGCACCCCGACCUCGGAUACUGUUCUUGAACAAGAACGAUAUCGAGGCCGAGGCUCUCUGCGACGGCCGGGAGCUCCUUAGUAGCAGCCUCAGCACCCUGCAGGUUUAGUUGGCCGACGCUUAGCCAUCCUCCCUUACCACGGUGGUGCUCAGCCAUAAUUAGUCGUGUUGAGCGCCCUCUGCUCCGCGCGUCUCCUCGCUGGGCACUCUACGGAGUACGUGCGGUGCGUGGUGUGUGGCUUCCCAAACGACUUGCACGUGGCACACACCGCCUUCUCACUCUUGCACUCGCCGCUCCUGUGCCCGCCCUCUCCGCAUUUUGCGCAUACUAUCUUUUCUGACCGGCAAUAUUUUUCCGGGUGUCCGUAACCCUGGCACUUGGCACAGCACGUGAUGUCGACGUAAUCCCGGACCAAGUGCCUUUCCCAGUUCAGGAACAGUCUCUGCCGGUCUAUUAUGGCGUCCCUGAGGGCGGGGCUGCACUCCAGCACCACCGUGGUCUUCCCGCCGCGGCGGCCCUUCAUGAAGGCGAUCCGUGCCUCCUUGUUAAAUCUAUCGGCGGGCCAUGCUGCGUCGUCUCCGAAAUUCUGCGAGUGGACGGCGCGCAGGAAAGCUUCUGGCUCGGGGUCUUCUACGCCGAAUACACCGACCAAUGGUUUUUUUAUUUUCGGCUCUCCAACUCUAAGUGUCGGUGGGGCCGCCUUCUUAAUCCGCUCGGCCGCCUCUUUUGUGGUGGUUUGCACCAAGACCCCGGCAUUCCCCACGCGCCGCACCCGGGUCACUUGCGCGCCUAGGGACCGCGGAUCAAUACUCUCCUUCAGGACCCUCUUGGUGUCGUCCGCGGUCUUUAGGCCGGCUGCCUCUUCGGUUUCGGCCGGGUAUAUGGUGAGGACCCUACCCUCGCUCGCUAGCGGCUUAGGCUGGGCCCCCUUCGGUCCUGUUCUUAGCAUGGCCGCAUAACUCCUUGGGCCGCCCGCGGACGCGCCCGACUGCGGCCGUUCGUCUCUAUCCUUAGCGAUGAGCGCCUUGAUUUCGCUUAUUGCGCUCUCUGUUUUUGCCGCACUGGCGCCGUUCUGGGCGUCCGCCACUCGCCAUGCCAUUGCGGCCAGGGCCGCAGUCAUCUUCUGCACUGCGCUCCCAAUCAUUGCUAUCUCCGCCUUGUUAAGUUUCGAGGUGGAGCUACUAACUGCUGCCAUGAUCUCCGCCCCGGCCGACGUUGCCCCGGCCAAAAUCUCCUCAACGCCCUGCUGGGCAUUUCCGCACCCCUCGUUGGCGUCCUCCGCUUCGCAUUCUCUCGCCACACACUGCCGCGCCGAGUCGGGUACUAUCCCCGGCGAUGACCGGGGCCUCUUGCCUGGGAGCGCCAGUGCGCGCGCCUCCGGCGGGGUAUUACUCCCGGGGUCCGGGGUUGGUGCCGGUGUCCCCGGGGAUCUCCUGGCCGGCCUCACUGGUGUGGGCACCAGGGGCCGGUAUGUGGGCGCUGGUGCCCGAAGGAUAUCGUCCUCUUCCUCUUCCAGCCUUGGUGUCGGCGAUGGCGGCGGGCUCCUUGCCGUCAUACUCGACCUCUGGAAGGCCAUUGUCUCUCUCACAGAUUGUCAAAAAAAAAACAACAAAAAAAAACGAAAAAAGAUACAAAAGCCCCAACCCCGAGCACCGUAACACAGAAUAAAAGUAAUAAAAGAGCACAAAAGAUCACAAAAGAAAACAAAAUUAAUACAAAGUACUUAGCCUAACACAGUUCACACAAGAGAAAAAAAAAAAAGUUACAAGUGUCCGGUGUAGUUCUUGUAUUGAACUACACCUCGCACGAAAAAUUUUCUAAGUCCUAACACAAGUGUCCGGUGUAGUUCUUGUAUUGAACUACACCUCGCACGAAAAAGUUCCUAACUACUAACACAAGUGUCCGGUGUAGUUCCUGUAUUGGAACUACACUUCGCACGAACGAUCGUCUGUUGACCGGUGUAGUUCUUGUAUUGGGUUGCCAAGCCAAUUUGGCAUGCAACCCAACACCACAAACACCGACCAACACCACUACGCGACUAUCUACUAUGCCUUGCCCUUACUAUAACUUGCCCUUAUCGAAUCUAAAUUGAGAUAUAGCAUCAAAUUUUGGGGAAAUGGUUACUUAUACAAUAUAAGAAGAGCGUUUAUUCUGCAGAAAAGAGCCAUACGGAACAUCACGAGAAUAAAACAAACAGAUUCUUGUAGAGAGCACUUUAAGAACUUAGGUAUACUUACUGCACCGUGUCUUUACAUGUUUGUUAUUUUGACUAGUUUUCACAAACAUUUAUGUCUCGAGGAAACAGUAGAAGCGCGAUCGUCGCGAUUGAGUACCCGUCGGAAGGAUGUGGUGCACGAAAUCGUACCCCGUCUAAACGUAGUUAGACAUAGUGUUGCUUACCAACAAGUUUACCUAUACAACAAACUGCCUGUUUGUUUUAAAGAGAUAACAAAUAACACUAUAUUCAAGUCACGAUUGAAAGCCUUCCUGUUAAGUAAAUGUUAUUAUUCAGUUCAUGAUUUUAUUGGUGAUAGAGAUUGUGGUAGACUAAAACGUGAUUAACGACUCCCUUGCGAAUACGGUAUUUUUUUUUAUUUUACUUUUGUUUUCCUUUCACGUUUGAUGGUAAUAUUGUGACCUAAAAUUGUAAAAUUACUUAUGACUACUUAUUCUGUUGCAUUUUUAUCUUAUAUUCUUUUAAAUUUUUAUUAUGUUAAGUUCAUUUAUUUUUUGAUUGCUUGUUAAACUUAUUUUGUACCAUUCUAUUUCAGUAUUUCGAACACAAUUCUUGUAAUUGUUAUGCGAAUAAAUACUCAUACUCAUACUCAUACUAACUACUAAUAACCUAGCUAAAACUAACCUAACACACUACACUAGCACUAUAUAAUAGUCACUUAUCUGUGAGUCCAAAUCCAAAUGUCUCGUGACGUAUAUGCGGCGGGGGGACCAGCGGGACUCGACGUCACCAGUGACGGAGUCGACCGCUAGUCAGCUGCGCUGCGUCUCCCUCGCACUCGCGCCCUGCGCCAAGAUGGCGCCGGCUGCAGAUGGGCGAGGCCCCUUGCUAGACAAGGAGCGACCGACGACACAGCAAUCCACACACACACACGUCACUGUGGUCACUAUUCACCUCUCACUCGAAAUGCAAGAUGGCCGCUGCUCCUAAUGGCACUUGCCACUAGAUAGAACGAGAGGGACCGAGUUUUUGCACUUUCAACAAUAAAUAAAUAGAUUAAAAUUCACGCACAAAGCUCCGACACGUCUGCCUCCGUUAAGAGCCAGCGACGAAGACCGGGGGGGACCAUAACCCACCACCUUCCCAUGGUCCUACCAACCUUUCGGUCAUACGGACCGAGGACCGAAUCAUGGGCGAUGCGAGUGGUACUUGCUCGGGGCUCUUUCCCACCCGCACUUCUUGACACCCUACAAAUUUUUGUCCUGUCCCCUGGACUUUCCCUUCUCCCCUUUCUGGGGCGGGACACCACGCCACGGCUUCGUCGCCGACCUUUUGCCACUCCCUGUCUAUGCCUCCUCCAGCAAUCUCCUCUGACGGUACCAAGUGUGCGCGAAUUCCCGGAAUCGUGCGAAGUUCACCUCGGAAGAUACAAGUUGCGCGAAAUAGACCGGUCCUGCUUCCGUCCUCUCCAGGUGGUAUGGGUCUGCGUCCUGGCACCGUGAGGCUGCGCGUGCUUCGCUGUCCAGGAUGCUGAGUGUGAUCAGCUGGUGGUCACUGCUGCUUACCCCCUCACGCACUGUCCACUCUGCGGAUUUGACCCCCCUUGUGGUUAACGUCACGUCGAUGUUCGACGUGCCGUUUACGCUGGAGAAUGUCGGGGGCUGGCUCUCGCGAUUGACAACGAAGAGUUGACGUGAAGCGAUGAAAGCCUCCAUCGCCUCCCGCCUCCUCUCCGCGUCCGCGCCUCGGCCCACCAGAUGUCUCCUCUCGCUGAACCAAAGGGGAGAGUGCGUGUUGCAAUCAGCGCAUAUCAAGACUGGAGCCCCUCUCAGUCUGUCCAGUACCCGCUCCAACUGCUCCAGGUGUCCGUCGAUCGGCUGCGAGUACUGGAAGUAGGCGGAGACGACGUACAGGCUACGCUUCCCCCCCCCCCCCCCGCGUAACCUGUGCCACCGUGCAGUGGCUGGUGCUGAGAUGGUGAAGCACCAACGUGGCGAUGGUCCUCUGAUUCGCCACGUAUAUCCCCGCCUUGGCCGUUUCCCCUCCCUCGAUGCUGCCUCCCUCCAGGAGGCCCGCGCACCCCGACCUCGGAUACUGUUCUUGAACAAGAACGAUAUCGAGGCCGAGGCUCUCUGCGACGGCCGGGAGCUCCUUAGUAGCAGCCUCAGCACCCUGCAGGUUUAGUUGGCCGACGCUUAGCCAUCCUCCCUCACCACGGCGGUGCUCAGCCAUAAUUUAUAGUGUUGAGCGCCCGCUGUUCCGCAUACUUCCUCGCGGGGCACUCGGGCGCAUGCGUACGGUGCGUAGUGUGCGGUCUCCCGAACGACUUGCAUGUGGCGCACACCGCCUUCUCGCUCUUGCAGUCGCCGCUUUUGUGCCCGCCCUCUCCGCAUUUUGCGCAAACUAUCUUCUCCGACCGGCAGUAUUUUUCGGGGUGUCCAUAGCACUGGCACUUGGCGCAGCACGUGAUGUCCACGUAAUCUCGGACCAAAUGCCUCUCCCAGUUGAUGAACACGCUCUGCCGGUCUAUGAUGGCAUCUCUGAGGGCGGGGCUGCACUCCAGCACCACCGUGGUCUUCCCGCCGCGGCGGCCCUUCGUAAAUGCGAUCCGCGCCUCUUUAUUAAAUUUCUCGGCAGGCCACGCAGCGUCUUCGCCGAAGUUCUGUGAGUGAACAGCGCGCAGGAAUCCUUCAGGCUCGGGGUCUUCAACACCGAACACACCCACCAACGGUUUCUUAAUCUUGGGCUCCCCAACUCUGAGUGUCGGUGGGGCCGCCUUCUUGAUCCGCUCGGCCGCCUCCUUAGUUGUUGUUUGCACCAAGACCCCGGCAUUACCCACGCGCCGCACUCUGGUCACUUGCGCGCCUAGGGACCGCGGAUCGAUGCUCUCCUUCAGAACCCUCUUAGUGUCGUCCGCGGUCUUUAGGCCUGCCGCCUCCUGCGUUUCGGCCGGGUAGAUCGUUAGGACCCUACCAUCACUCGCUGGGGGCUUAGGCUGGGCGCCCUUUGGUCCAGUCCUUAACAUUGCCGCAUAGCUUUGAGGGCCGCCCGUGGACGCGCUGGACUGCGGCCGUACAUUUCUUUCCUUGAUGAUAAACGACUUAAUUUCCUCUAUUGCGUCUACUGCGUUGGCGCCCUUCUGCGCGUCUGCCACCCGCCACGCCAUAGUGGCCAGUGCCGCAGUCAUGCGUUGCACAGCGCUCCCUAUCAUCGCAAUCUCUGCCUUAUUCAGUCUUGACGUGGAGCUACUUAUAGCCGCCAUGAUCUCUGCCCCGGCAGACGUUGCCCCGGCCAGAAUCUCGUCGACGCCCUGCUGGGCAUUAUCUCUCCCCUCAUUAGUGUCCUCGGCUCCGCACUCUCUUGACACGCACUGCCGCGCCGAGUCUGACACUAUCCCCGGCGAUGACCGGGGCCUCUUACUCGGGAGCGCCAGUGCACGCGUCUCCGGCGGGGUAUCACUCCCGGGGUCCGGGGUUGGUACCGGUGUCCCCGGGGAUCUCCUAGCCGGCCUCACCGGUGUUGGUACCAGGGGCCGGUAUGUGGGCGCUGGUGCCCGAAAAUCGUCCUCCUCCUCCUCCGGCUCCAGCCCUGGCGCCGGCGAUGGCGGCGGACUCCUCGCCGUCAUGCUCGACCUCUGGAAGGCCAUUGUCCCUCUCACAGAUUGUCAGUAUCGAAAUAAGCAAAAGCCCCAACCCCAAACACCGUAACACAGGAUUAGGUAAAAAUAAUAAAAAAAAAAGAAAGAAACAAAGUGCACAGAAGAGAACAAAAUUAAUACAGUAGUACUUAUCCUAACAUAGUAAAACACACAAUAAAAGUUACAAGUGUCCGGUGUAGUUCUUGUAUUGAACUACACCUUCGCACGAAAAAAAAAUUCCUAAGUCCUAACACAAGUGUCCGGUGUAGUUCUUGUAUUGAACUACACCUCACACGAAAAAUUUUCUAAGUCUAAAGCACAAGUGUCCGGUGUAGUUCUUGUAUUGAACUACACCUUCGCACGAAAAAUUCCUAAGUCCUAACACAAGUGUCCGGUGUAGUUCUUGUAUUGAACUACACCUACGCACGAAAAUUCCUAACCUUAAGCACAAGUGUCCGGUGUAGUUCCUGUAUUGGAACCACACUUCGCACGAACGAUAGGUGUAGUUCUUGUAUUGGGCUGCCAAGCCUAUUGGCAUGCAACCCAACACCACAGACAAACACCGACCAACACCACUACGCGACUAUAUCUACUAACCUAGCUAAAACUAACCUACACACUACACUAGCACUAUACAGUCACUUAUCUGUGAGUCCAAAUGUCUCGCGUCCGUGACGUAUAUGCGGACAACGAAGAGUUGACGUGAAGCGAUGAAAGCCUCCAUCGCCUCCCGCCUCCUCUCCGCGUCCGCGCCUCGGCCCACCAGAUGUCUCCUCUCGCUGAACCAAAGGGGAGAGUGCGUGUUGCAAUCAGCGCAUAUCAAGACUGGAGCCCCUCUCAGUCUGUCCAGUACCCGCUCCAACUGCUCCAGGUGUCCGUCGAUCGGCUGCGAGUACUGGAAGUAGGCGGAGACGACGUACAGGCUACGCUUCCCCCCCCCCCCCCCCCCCCCCCGUAACCUGUGCCACCGUGCAGUGGCUGGUGCUGAGAUGGUGAAGCACCAACGUGGCGAUGGUCCUCUGAUUCGCCACGUAUAUCCCCGCCUUGGCCGUUUCCCCUCCCUCGAUGCUGCCUCCCUCCAGGAGGCCCGCGCACCCCGACCUCGGAUACUGUUCUUGAACAAGAACGAUAUCGAGGCCGAGGCUCUCUGCGACGGCCGGGAGCUCCUUAGUAGCAGCCUCAGCACCCUGCAGGUUUAGUUGGCCGACGCUUAGCCAUCCUCCCUCACCACGGCGGUGCUCAGCCAUAAUUUAUAGUGUUGAGCGCCCGCUGUUCCGCAUACUUCCUCGCGGGGCACUCGGGCGCAUGCGUACGGUGCGUAGUGUGCGGUCUCCCGAACGACUUGCAUGUGGCGCACACCGCCUUCUCGCUCUUGCACUCUGCGCUCCUGUGCCCGCCCUCUCCACACUUCGAACACACCGUCUUGUCUGACCGGCAGUACUUCUCCGGGUGCCCGUAACUUUGGCACUUGGCGCAGCAAGUUAUAUCUACGUAAUCCCUUACCAAGUGCCUCUCCCAAUUCAAAAAUACCCGCUGCCGGUCAAUCAUCGCGUCCCUGAGGGCGGGGCUGCACUCCAGCACCACCGUGGUCUUCCCGCCGCGGCGGCCCUUCAUAAAAGCGACCCGUCCUUCCUUCUUAAAUCUCUCCUCGGGCCAUGCCGAGUCAUCCCCGAAGUUUUGGCCGUGCAGGGCGCGCAAGAAUUCCCCCGGCUCGGGGUCCUCCACUCCGAAUAUGCCGACCAGUGGCUUUUUCACCUUCGGCUCCCCCACCCUCAGCGUGGGUGGUGCCGCCUUCUUAAUGCGCUCAGCGGCCUCCUUGGUCGUCGUCUGUACAAGGACCCCCGCGUUUCCUACUCGGCGUACUCUUGUCACCUGCGCGCCCAGGGACCGCGGAUCUAUGCUCUCCUUGAGCAUCCUCUUCGUAUCAUCCGCGGUCUUGAGGCCAGCUGCCUCUCCCGUUUCGGCCGGAUAUAUUGUGAGGACCCGGCCUUCGCUCGCUAGCGGCUUAGGCUGGGCCCCCUUCGCUCCAGUCCUCAGCAUGGCCGCGUAGCUUUGUGGGCCGACCGCGUGCGCGUCCGACUGCGGCCGUUCAUUACUCUCUUUAAUUAGCGCUUUAAUUUCUUGUAUUGCACUCUCCGUAUUUUUUGCAUUGGCGCCUUUCUGGGCAUCUGCUACCCGCCAUGCCAUAGUAGCCAGUGCCGCAGUCAUUCUUUGCACGGCGCUCCCUAUCAUCGCAAUCUCCGCCUUGUUUAAUUUUGACGUGGAGCUACUUAUAGCCGCCAUGAUCUCCGCCCCGGCAGUCGUUGCCCCGGCCAAAAUCUCGUCGACGCCCUGCUGGGCGUUACCUCUCCCCUCAUUGGCGUCCUCCUCUUCGCACUCCCUGGCCACACACUGCCGCGCCGAGUCCGACACUAUCCCCGGCGAUGACCGGGGCCUCUUACUCGGGAGCGCCAGUGCACGCGCCUCUGGCGGGGUAUUACUCCCGGGGUCCGGGGUUGGUGCCGGUGUCCCCGGGGAUCUCCUAGCCGGCCUCACCGGUGUUGGUACCAGCGGCCGGUAUGUGGGCGCUGGUGCCCGAAAAUCGUCCUCCUCCUCCUCCGGCUCCGUCAUGCUCGACCUCUGGAAGGCCAUUGUCCCUCUCACAGAUUGUCUGAUCCCCGAGAACUAAUACUAAGCAAAGUAAGGCGAAACGAAACUUAAAACUAACACGAUAUAAAAAUAAAAGUUAAGAAAAGAUACAAGUGCCCGGCGUAGUUCUUGUAUUGGAUUGUUAAAAAUUCUCCUAAGUCCUGUACACGAUUUCCACAUACAAAAUAUAGCGAAAACAAAAAAAAAACAAGCAACAAAAAAAAAAAAAAAAUAGUAAAGUAAAGAAAAGAUACAAGUGCCCGGCGUAGUUCUUGUAUUGAUUUGUCAAUGAUUUUUCUAAGUCCUGUACGCGGUACACACACAAAAUACAAAAUACAAAAAAAAAAAAAAAACGUACAAGUGUCCGGUGUAGUUCCUGUAUUGGAACUACACCUCGCACGAAAAGGUUCCUACCUACUAAGCACAAAUGUCCGGUGUAGUUCCUGUAUUGGAACUACACUUCGCACGAACGAUCGUCUGUUAGCCGGUGUAGUUCUUGUAUUGGGCUGCCAAGCCUAUUGGCAUGCAACCCAACACCGCAAACAAACACCGACCAACACCACUACGCGACUACCUACUAACCUAGCUAAAAAACUAACCUACACACUACACUAGCACUAUACAGUCACUUAUCUGUGAGUCCAAAUGUCUCGCGUCCGUGACGUAGAUGCGGCGGGGGGGGACCAGCGGGACUCGACGUCACCAGUGACGGAGUCGACCGCUAGUCGGCUGCGCUGCGUCUCCCUCGCUCUCGCGCCCUGCGCCAAGAUGAUCCGUAGGGGUUGGCGUAGCGUGCCGCUAGCGGCUGGUUGCGCCCGUCUCCGGGGGUCAUCAACGGGCUGAGGGUUGCGGAAGGGUUCGCCGACGACACGGGGGGAGUAAUGUAGUAGUAACUUAGUGUAAUGUUUCCUGACGACAAUCCGCGUAUCAUAAACAGGUUAGGGCUGCGGCGGCCUGCGAGCCGCACGGUCGGGACCUGACACUAGAGCGUCUUGAUCGCAUCAUCAGGGAGCUGCUAAACAUAGCCCCCGAUAUAGACGGCAUAACGGUCCGCAUUGUCAAGUACGCCUGGAAGGUAACCGCGAACGAAAUGACGGCUCUGUACUUAAAAUGCGUUCGAGAAAGUAUCUAUCUAGACUCUUGGAAGAUAGGUCGUUUGGUGGUUAUCCCAAAGGGAAACGGGAAGGCCAUGACAGACCCUAAGGCCUAUACUGACAGACACUCGUUAACCGCGAAACCGGCGGCCGAGCGACCCUUUAGAAAAGCCGGCCUACCCCUUUUGGCCCGCGGUAAGUGGAGCGCUCCCGCCGGUUCGCUCCCGAACUAAACAAACCCGGCAAACCAGUGCUGAAGUGUGGGAUAGAAUUAGAAAUGGUCGCUUGUCAUGGGGUGGGCGUAGGAUUGAACCUAGUGGCACAAAAAAAAGGAAAUCGGAGUCCCAAUGGGGUAGGGCAGUUGCACCACUACACUCAUGGGCAAGAGGGAAAAAAAUAAUUGCUACUUACCCUCGAGUACGGCAGUCCGUUGAGACUCCCGCCUACGAAUUUAUUAUUUAAAAGAUUGCGUUCACAGGUGUAAAGGACCCUCUGUGACCCAUGAAUGAGGAGUUACUCCCCCUGAGGGUAGGCUAGACAUUGCAGGGAGGCUUUGUUGUGUAAGUCCAAGCAUCCUUGCCUGUUCCAUUUCUAAAUUUCGAAGUCUUUGCAUGGUGGUUACUCUUGACAAUAUUUAUUUCUGGGUUUUCUGUAUAUCUAUGAGAAUUGUGUACAACCAACCUCCAUUAUCAUGUGUGCUCUUGGUCCCUUCUUGUCGGGUGGGCGGUGUUCCUGUCUCCAUGUCAUCCUCCCUCCAUUCUUCUAUUGUUGGCUCAUCUGGCCUUCUUGUCUUCCUUUUGGGUUUGCUUGUCUCGCCUUCCUCUGAUCUACUUCUUGCUCGAGUUGUCACGCCAGGUGUAUCUAGGGGUGCUGAUGUUACACCUUGGUGAAGAACAUCUCCUUUUGAUUUUGUUUUGAGGGUUAAUAUCGCAUCUUCCAACAGGUCCUCCUCAUAUGAUUCCAUUUUGUGCACUUACAUAGAUUUAAUUACAUAGGUUUAAUUUAUUAUUUAUUCGUAGUCUCCCGCUAAAUCAUAAUAAAAAAUCCCGAUAAAUCAUUUCUCUUCCUGCAAAUGAAACAGGUUCAGUAGCACCUUCAUAAUAAUUACUUACAGAAUCAGUCAAAUAAUAUAAUUUUAAUUCGGUAGGUAGGUAGUUAAUUGUAAUUUUUAGGAGCUAAACAGAAAACUUUUGGAGCAAUGCCGUAUUUGACCUGUUUUUGUAGCGUAGAUUGCAUUUGUGUGUCUCAGUACCUGUUCUGACCAAGCGUAAAUUGGUUUUCACAAAGACUGCUACUUCGAAAAUAAACAACGAUGGUAAUGUUAAUAAACUUAGUUUUAUGAAGUAAGGUUUGCAGCUAUCAGUUGAUUUUAGCCCACAAAUAUAAUUCCGUAGCUCAUGUUAGAGGCAACGAAACCAUGAUAACCUGAAAAAAGAAUAUCAAUGUUGCCAACCACCUUUGCCAGCUUAUAUACUUAGUGCAAAAGUCUGCUUUGACAAUUUUGUGCAGACCUCAUUAGCUUGACGUUUAGCAUCUAUAUGCACGCCCAGAAAUGCUGUUACUUGUUACAUGUAUGUUGAAUAUUCACAUUAAGGUUUUGUUGUACGGUUCUCUGUACCUUAAGUUAUUUAGAAAUCGUAUUUCUAAAGAACUUAUAUUAAUUGGUUGUCGGUGCUUUGAACUUCGGCGAUCAGCAUAGAUUUUAAUCUUUUUGUGAGGUAAUACACUAUCACAAUAAACUAUUAAUAUAAAUAAGAACGCUCUGUCGCCGGCUCCAAUAUGUUUUUUUUUUUUGGGCGACUGCUUAUGUAAAUUGUUAACGACAUCUGGUCAGUUAAAAUUAAGAACAUGGUUAUUAUUAAUGUUAUUAGUCAUUACCUGUUUAAGAAAUGCUACCUAUGUGAACCUAUUGCAGUUAUGAAAAAGUUAAUUGUAAUACAAAAAUGUAUGAAAUAUAAAAUUAAAAAAUGA